GUUCUGUGGGAAAGGCACAAGCGGAUACAUGCUGGAUUUUCUUUUAUUACUCCGAUUCUGCUCAUUUUUGGGAAUCUCCUUGUGGAAGAAUCUCCUGAUACCGCUUCCGAAGUUGUAUGGUCAAUGACCAUACGGAAAAAGCCUCCGAGACUGCAACGUUCAGCGGAGCUGAGAACGCCGAGUGACCGCGUCGACCCGCCGCUCGGACGGACGGCCACCGAGUCGGUGCACGUCACCCAGAACGAACCGAAGAAAAUACUCCUACUAUGUAAUUUAAAAUCCCCACAACUAAUGUUACCCCAGAUUUUAAAUGUACAUAUUCGGUGAAUAUUUUGCCGAGGCUUGGUCGUAUGUUGCGUAAAUGCUAAUAAGCUAGCUAAAACACCGCCGCGACCCGCUCGGACUCCCGCGGCCGUCGGCACCGCUGCAAUGGCGGGGCAAGGUCGGAGCAACGUAGCGUAAAAAAAAAAAAAAAAAAGACAUUCCUCGGGAACAAAUGGAGGGAACUCACUCACCACUGCCACCA